rnacentral:rRNA from 1 species
CCUACGGGUGGCUGCAGUGAGGAAUAUUGGUCAAUGGGCGGAAGCCUGAACCAGCCAAGUAGCGUGCGGGAUGAAUGCCCUACGGGUCGUAAACCGCUUUUGCACGGGGAUAACACCCUCCACUUGUGGAGGUCUGCAGGUACCGUGCGAAUAAGGGCCGGCUAAUUCCGUGCCAGCAGCCGCGGUAAUACGGAAGGCCCGAGCGUUAUCCGGAUUCAUUGGGCUUAAAGGGAGCGGAGGCGGGCGUGCAAGUCAGCGGUAAAAUCGCGCGGCUCAACCGCGCCCCGCAGGUGAAACUGGACGCUUUGAGGUCACAAAAGGCAGGCGGGAUUCGUGGUG